rnacentral:rRNA from 1 species
GCACAAGCGGUGGAGCAUGUGGUUAAUUCGAUGAUACGCGAGGAACCUUACCUGGGCUCAAAUGUAUGUUGACGUAUUCUGAAAGGGAUACUUCUUCGGACAAUAUACAAGGUGCUGCAUGGUUGUCGUCAGCUCGUGCCGUGAGGUGUCGGGUUAAGUCCCAUAACGAGCGCAACCCCUAUCAUUAGUUGCCAUCAGGUCAAGCUGGGGACUCUAAUGAAACUGCCUACGCAAGUAGUGAGGAAGGUGGGGAUGACGUCAAAUCAGCACGGCCCUUACGUCCAGGGCUACACACGUGCUACAAUGGCCGGUACAAAGGGCAGCGAGGCCGCGAGGCGGAGCGAAUCGCUUAAAGCCGGUCCCAGUACGGAUUGGAGUCUGCAACCCGACUCCAUGAAGUUGGAAUCGCUAGUAAUCGCGCAUCAGCAUGGCGCGGUGAAUACGUUCCCGGGCCUU